UCAGUUCGGAUUGUAGUCUGCAACUCGACUACAUGAAGCUGGAAUCGCUAGUAAUCGUAGAUCAGCAUGCUACGGUGAAUACGUUCCCGGGUCUUGUACACACCGCCCGUCACACCACGAGAGUUUGUAACACCCGAAGCCGGUGGAGUAACCUUUUAGGAGCUAGCCGUCGAAGGUGGGACAAAUGAUUGGGGUGAAGUCGUAACAAGGUAGCCGUAUCGGAAGGUGCGGCUGGAUCACCUCCUUUCUAAGGA
rnacentral:rRNA from 1 species